UUCAUGCACCAGUUGAAUUUUGUGUAGUGAUGGCUUUUUCUUGGGUUACGUACUGCGUUUGCAGAGGAAUCAUCCAGGAGCGGCAGCCGGAGGAAAAAUUGGCAGAAGUGGACCUGAGCUGCCUGGAAAUCCUCUUAAGUGGAGAUCAACAGUCCUCAGCUUUCUGCCUCGUGCAUAACUGCCUUACCAAGGGAAAAGAAGUCACGUGUCAGAGUCUACUGCCUUCAUGUCAUGGAAAGUGAGCGAGAGCAAUGGGACUUCAAGAACUACUGAUGCCAAGGAAAAGCCGUCCUACUGGGAGUGGAACAGUCGCCACUCUCAAUGAGAACUGUCUGUUUUGGUGAUUGCUCUGCUCACGGCCCACCUUGCUCCUGUUUGAAGAGGAAUCAUCCAGGAGCCCUUGAUGGGCGAGAAUAUGCAGAAGUGGACCUGAG